rnacentral:tRNA from 1 species
GCAUUUUUAGUAUAAUUAGUAUGUUCGCCUUCCACGCGAUAGGUCAAGUUUUUUUUGAAAAUGUA